AACGAGUUUCGCUCCGAUGAUCAAAAUACAAAAAUUUCGUCAAAAUCAUCAAAGUGAUUUUGAGUAACCAAAGUGAAUUUGAGUAGCUAAUGUAUUAGUUAUACACAAAGAAUACUCAACAACUAUAAAUAAAGAACUGGUUUAGUCAUUUUUAAAUGAAGAUGGGUCGGUAGAUUAUUGACUUUUAAAGGAAGCAUUGGAAGGAUGUUUAUUGCAAUGUAGAGCUGAACAAAUCCACUUUGCUCCGGAUUUUCAAAUGUUUUCACAACAUCAGGUUAUAAACACUUAUCGCAAAAACAAAUAUUUUUGCAAUGGUCACAUGCCAUUUUUUCCUUAAAAAUUACACUGAAAAAAAGAAAUAGCUGAACCAGUUUUGCUAUUUGCAAAUUUCUUUAAUAGAUACCAAACUUUGGUUGUAAUUAUCUAAACCAAUGUAACUGCAUGUCCCAAACCAGAUAAGCUAAUCAGUUCUUGAUAAUCAGUAAUCAAAAUGUUAGCUAUUAUUUAUUAAAAUAAACCAGUCAAACUACUUUAGCUGCAAGAACAAACUGUUUCAUAGCUGGUAACCGAACAUAUGUACUUAAAUUUAAUACAAUGUUGAUUAAAACAUUGUCAUGAAUUUAUUUAUAGAUAACACAAUCAAAGUCAUUAUUUGGACAUUCAUCAAUUUAUUUAUUUGUAGUAAACUUUUCUAGCAGCCAUUAAAUCAUCAUUUGAUUAAUAUUUGCCUAUGUCGAAUGUAUGAAGUUAAAAUAAAAAUGUAAGUAUUAUCACAAAACUGUUUAACAAUAUUUAAUUAAAAUAUUGUUAAAACUAGUUGGCACUGUUGGCAGCACUGCGUCCGAGUCAGUACAUUAAAGUUAUAUGCGAUUCACGUUAGAACUCGUUCUCUGCGUUCGGUCAUUAUUGUGUGGCUUGGCUGGUGAAGGCGGCAAAUCGAAUUGAUUUUCACAUUCCUAUUGUUUUCGGGAGAUUUGUAGCGACAUUAUGUAUAUAAAAAAAACUUAGUAAACGUGUUUUCGUAAUAAAUAGUGCAAUGGCAGACGGUCAAGACGAGACCUCCGCUGAUCCUAUGAGUGACUAUUUGCGCUUAUGGGGUCUUGAAAUGUACAUAAAUUUGUUCAAAGCAUAAUAUCCAUGAUGAUAGCAUCCCUGCAUCAUCGCAUCAUCAAAUGCUGUGUGUAUCAAUAACUUGCCAAUCCUUACUGAUAGCACCAUACAUUACCUACUAGUAUAUUGCUGAAUCAGGACUUGAAAACUUACAGAACUUGGACAAAUAUACAGAAUGAGGAAGUACCAAACUUAAAUACAAAUGGAGUAUACAACACUUUGAGUUCAUGUAAUGAAGGAAAAGGACUACUUCUUCACUACAAAGAAAACGGAAUGAAUUCCUGAAAGUUAGCCUCUCCCGGUGUGCACUGAAUUAUAUAAAAUGAAGAAAACAGACUAUGAUUGUUAUGGUAAAUUUUAAACUCAAGUAAAUAUGUGUUUGACAUUAAUUUGGGCUAAGCAAUGUCUUAUUAAUAUUUGGUUAACUAUUCUUUAUUUUUAUUAGCCCUAUUUAUGUUUUAUAAUAUAUUGGUGUUUGAUUACCAGUUAUUAUACAAUGGAGAUACUACAGCGUAUGUAACUUAAAUUUAAUAAUCUGGAUUUUCUUGAGUGAAUGACAAGACAUUAAAUUGUGUUAUUUUAUUUUUUUGAACAUUUUAAAUAAAUAAUUCAAAAAA